rnacentral:rRNA from 1 species
UACGGGGGGGGCAAGCGUUGUUCGGAAUUACUGGGCGUAAAGGGUGCGUAGGCCGCACGGUAAGUCAGAGGUGAAAUCCCGGAGCUCAACUUCGGAAUUGCCUCCGAUACUGCCGUGCUUGAGGACUGGAGAGGAGAUUGGAAUUCACAGUGGAGCAGUGAAAUGCGUAGAUAUUGUGAGGAACACUAGUGGCGAAGGCGAAUCUCUGGACAGUUCCUGACGCUGAGGCACGAAGGCCAGGGGAGCAAACGGG